rnacentral:tmRNA from 1 species
GGGGGCGAUCGGUUUCGACCGGAUGAUUACGGUGGUGGUGGCAUGCAGGGGACGCUCACUUGGCCCCUUAAAAAUGUGAGCAAAACAUUAACUGCCAAUAACAGUGAUGUGACCGGUCGCGUUGGUUUUGGCGCUCCGGCGUUUGCAAUGGCUGCCUAAUUUAGGUGGUCUCGGCACGAUGUGGCGGUCGCGACACGUCGGCUGAAAACAGCGACCUGGCUGCAGCGUUUGACUGAGGCGCUAUGGCGAGAAACAUCGGUCUGAUCCUCCGUGAAGGGUGACGGUGCCCGCCUCGGAGGACGACAACAAAACACCGCCUAAGCAUGUAGAGGCCACGAUUGGCGUUAUCUCGGGACGGGGGUUCAAUUCCCCCCGCCUCCAUGA